GCUUGCUCCCGGAUGUUAGCGGCGGACGGGUGAGUAACACGUGGGUAACCUGCCUGUAAGACUGGGAUAACUCCGGGAAACCGGAGCUAAUACCGGAUAGUUCCUUGAACCGCAUGGUUCAAGGAUGAAAGACGGUUUCGGCUGUCACUUACAGAUGGACCCGCGGCGCAUUAGCUAGUUGGUGGGGUAAUGGCUCACCAAGGCGACGAUGCGUAGCCGACCUGAGAGGGUGAUCGGCCACACUGGGACUGAGACACGGCCCAGACUCCUACGGGAGGCAGCAGUAGGGAAUCUUCCGCAAUGGACGAAAGUCUGACGGAGCAACGCCGCGUGAGUGAUGAAGGUUUUCGGAUCGUAAAGCUCUGUUGUUAGGGAAGAACAAGUGCGAGAGUAACUGCUCGCACCUUGACGGUACCUAACCAGAAAGCCACGGCUAACUACGUGCCAGCAGCCGCGGUAAUACGUAGGUGGCAAGCGUUGUCCGGAAUUAUUGGGCGUAAAGGGCUCGCAGGCGGUUUCUUAAGUCUGAUGUGAAAGCCCCCGGCUCAACCGGGGAGGGUCAUUGGAAACUGGGAAACUUGAGUGCAGAAGAGGAGAGUGGAAUUCCACGUGUAGCGGUGAAAUGCGUAGAGAUGUGGAGGAACACCAGUGGCGAAGGCGACUCUCUGGUCUGUAACUGACGCUGAGGAGCGAAAGCGUGGGGAGCGAACAGGAUUAGAUACCCUGGUAGUCCACGCCGUAAACGAUGAGUGCUAAGUGUUAGGGGGUUUCCGCCCCUUAGUGCUGCAGCUAACGCAUUAAGCACUCCGCCUGGGGAGUACGGUCGCAAGACUGAAACUCAAAGGAAUUGACGGGGGCCCGCACAAGCGGUGGAGCAUGUGGUUUAAUUCGAAGCAACGCGAAGAACCUUACCAGGUCUUGACAUCCUCUGACAACCCUAGAGAUAGGGCUUUCCCUUCGGGGACAGAGUGACAGGUGGUGCAUGGUUGUCGUCAGCUCGUGUCGUGAGAUGUUGGGUUAAGUCCCGCAACGAGCGCAACCCUUGAUCUUAGUUGCCAGCAUUCAGUUGGGCACUCUAAGGUGACUGCCGGUGACAAACCGGAGGAAGGUGGGGAUGACGUCAAAUCAUCAUGCCCCUUAUGACCUGGGCUACACACGUGCUACAAUGGACAGAACAAAGGGCUGCAAGACCGCAAGGUUUAGCCAAUCCCAUAAAUCUGUUCUCAGUUCGGAUCGCAGUCUGCAACUCGACUGCGUGAAGCUGGAAUCGCUAGUAAUCGCGGAUCAGCAUGCCGCGGUGAAUACGUUCCC
rnacentral:rRNA from 1 species